CUCGAAUGUACUUAUCUCGAAUGUUCUACUGCUCUUGCUCUUCUGCCACCGCGAAAGUUGGGUUAUGUUUCUUAUGUGCAAACAACAUUUUCUUCUAUCUUUUCGGUUAUUGUGUGUGUGAGUGAAAAAUAUAACCGCAAGCUGUACCGAAAGCGAAAAAUGUGCUAAAGUUAAUUAAAUUGAAAUUUUCGAGGGGAGGUGCGUAAAAAUCACGAGCUUCUUUAAAGAUCCAAAGUUGAAAACGUCUCACUAGACAAGAAUAAGAAAGAGUGGUAGAAGAAAACCUGACUUUACGCAAAAAGAAAAACCACAAAAAAUAGAAAGUGAAAACGAAGGAAAAUCUAUGUAUGUACGUGUCCACAGAACUUGAGUUUCGAUCUGGAUUGCGAUGUAGUGUGGAAUAGGCAGAAAGGCAGACCGGAAUGAGGAAUAGAAGCCAAAGAGCGGAUCGAAAGAGAACACCAAAACUUCGGAAGCGACAGAAGAAACAACAGGAUCUUUUGCAGUAAAUAAUACAACAUACAUACACAUGUGUGUAUUAUAUGUCCAUCAAAGAAAAGGACUCUUAAACCUUUCUCCAAUGGAACAGCCAUCUUCGAAUGAAGAUUAAUAGAGAAGCAUAUCGAAAAGAAAAAUCAGAUACCCUUACUUUUCGGGUGAACAUUUUGCAAGCAUCGUCGAAUGGAAAUCAUCCAUGGAUCCAAAGGACCACAUCUUUUUUGGGAUAGACUGACUCACAAGCCAAACAGCAAAUGCUGAUACAAAUUUCUAUACAAAAAGCAUUAAUAUAUAAUCGUUGAGUUAGUUCCUAAAUGAGAGAUAGAAAUGCCAUUCCAAAGUAAAGAAAAU